rnacentral:rRNA from 1 species
AGAGUUUGAUCCUGGCUCAGAACGAACGCUGGCGGCGUGGCUAAGACAUGCAAGUCGAACGGACUAUCCAAUUGAGUAAUCGAGAGGGUAGUUAGUGGCGAAAGGGUGAGUAACGGAUAGGUAACGUACCCCGUGCUCCGGGAUAGCGUCGGUUGCUUCGGCAAUCUACCGAAAGGGGCGGUAAUACCGGAUAACGUCAUAGAUUGAUGGAUUUAUGACCAAAGAUUCAUCGGCGCGGGAGCGGCCUACCCCCUAUCAGCUUGUUGGUGAGGUAACGGCCCACCAAGGCGAUGACGGGUAGCGGGACUGAGAGGUUGUUCCGCCGCAUCGGGACUGAGACACUGCCCGGACCUCCACGGAGGGCUGCAGUAACGAAUCUUGGGCAAUGGGCGAAAGCCUGACCCAGCGACGCCGCGUGUGCGAGGAAGUCCCUCGGGAUGUAAAGCACUGUCAGGGUGAAGAAAGUCCGCUCCGGCGGAUUGAUCUAACCCAAAGGAAGUCACGGCUAACUUCGUGCCAGCAGCCGCGGUAAGACGAAGGUGGCAAGCGUUGUUCGGUAUCACUGGGCUUAAAGCGUGUGUAGGCGGACAGGUAAGCGUUUUGUGAAAGCCCCCGGCUCAACCGGGGAACUGCUGGGCGAACUGCCUGUCUUGAGGCAAGUAGGGGUGCUCGGAACUCUUGGUGGAGCGGUGGAAUGCGUAGAUAUCAAGAGGAACGCCUGUGGUGAAGACGGCGCACUGGGCCUGAACUGACGCUGAGACACGAAAGCGUGGGGAGCGAACGGGAUUAGAUACCCCGGU